UACGAAGGGGGGCUAGCGUUGCUCGGAAUUAUUGGGCGUAAAGCGCGCGCAGGCGGUCCUUUAAGUCUGAUGUGAAAGCCCACGGCUCAACCGUGGAGGGUCAUUGGAAACUGGGGGACUUGAGUGCAGAAGAGGAAAGCGGAAUUCCACGUGUAGCGGUGAAAUGCGUAGAGAUGUGGAGGAACACCAGUGGCGAAGGCGGCUUUCUGGUCUGUAACUGACGCUGAGACGCGAAAGCGUGGGGAGCAAACAGG
rnacentral:rRNA from 1 species